CACGCCGUAAACGAUGAGUGCUAGGUGUUAGGGGGUUUCCGCCCCUUAGUGCUGGCGUUAACGCAUUAAGCACUCCGCCUGGGGAGUACGGCCGCAAGGCUGAAACUCAAAAGAAUUGACGGGGACCCGCACAAGCGGUGGAGCAUGUGGUUUAAUUCGAAGCAACGCGAAGAACCUUACCAGGUCUUGACAUCCCGCUGACCGCUAUGGAGACAUAGCUUUCCCUUCGGGGACAGCGGUGACAGGUGG
rnacentral:rRNA from 1 species